AGCCUUUUUAUUUUUUAUUUUUUUAAAAAAGUGAGGGAAAGAUAAUCACAGAGAGAGAGAGGGACGAAGAGAUGAGAGAUUGAGAGAGAGUGUGCUUGAGGGAGAGUUACAGAGAAGGAGAGACAGAACAGACAGGUUGAUCAGCCUUUUUAUUAGGGAAUCAGAGAGAGGGACGAAGAGAUGAGAGAUUGAAUUUUUUGGAGGGACAAUGAGAUUCAGAGAAGAUGGGCUCCGAUUUAUUUAUUUAUUUUUUUGAAGGAGAAGCCACCCAAGGGGCGGCGAGCCGCCACCCCCGCCCGCCCUUCGUCUCUCUUUCUCUCUACAGCUCCCUUUCACUCUCCAAUCUCUCUGAAUCUCAUUGUCCAUCUUCUCUGUUCUGUCUCUCCUUCUCUGUAACUCUCCCUCAAGCUCACUCUCUCAUCUCUUCGUCCCUCUCUCUGUGAUUAUCUUUUCCUCACUUUUUUUUUUGUUUUUAAUAAAAAGGCUGAUCAACCCAGGUUGGGCUAACCAGCCUGGGUUCUUCUCAUAGGAAGGAAACCGACAGGGGAGAGAGAACUGAUUUUUUUUUCAUUUUAAUAUUAUUGUCGCGUAGACUUUGAUGGGCAAAAUGUGGUCUUUUGAUUGCUUUGUAGCAUUUCUCGAUCUCAAGUGGUAUGGCCUUUUGAAGUUUGCAAAGCAGCUUGGUACACUGCAAAGUGCAAACUACUCGUAGAGAGAGAGAGAAAAAAAUGCAAUCUUCACUUUCAUGCUCUCAUCAUGGAAGAAUAGGCUUCAGUUUUCAGCAAAACACGAACCCGGCUUGGGCGUACCCACAGAGAAGAGUUCAAUCACCACUGUUUCUCAUCCUUCGUUCCACCAGACCUUACACUUCACCAGCUUCUUCUUCUGUUCAACUUGCGCUGAGAUCACCUCAUUUUCAAUCACAACCACCCCCACCAAACAAACCAACUUGGACCCCAUCCACAGCUUUCAUUCCACAUCCAGAAGUCAUCGAUGGGCCAGCCUCAAGAUUCCCUCCACUUCGUUGCGGCGUUUCAUCGAACAGCUAUAGCACCAAUGGCGCUCGGAGUUUCCGGGAUUGGAUUGAGCUCAUUGGCGAAGCUGUUUCGACUGCAUUUCCCAUAUGGGUAGCACUGGGAUGCCUAUUGGGGCUUAUCAAGCCAAGCUCCUUCAAUUGGGUUCAGCCCAAGUGGACCAUUGUUGGCAUAACCUUGACCAUGCUUGGUAUGGGCAUGACGCUUACUCUCGACGAUCUCCGUGGCGCUCUGGCUAUGCCCAAACAGUUACUAUCAGGCUUUUUGCUGCAGUACUCGGUGAUGCCAUUAUCAGGGUUUCUUGUGAGCAAGCUUUUAAAUCUGCCACCCUAUUAUGCAGCUGGUUUAAUAUUGGUUGGUUGCUGCCCAGGGGGAACAGCAAGUAACAUUGUCACUUACAUUGCACGUGGAAAUGUGGCACUUUCGGUGUUGAUGACAGCAGCUAGUACUUUAGCAGCUGUGUUCAUGACCCCAUUUCUCACAGCCAAACUUGCUGGGCAAUAUGUUGCAGUAGAUGCAAUUGGGCUACUACUCUCAACACUUCAGGUUGUGCUUCUUCCUGUGCUAGCUGGUGCAUUUUUAAAUCAGUAUUUCCAAGGCCUGGUUAAAUUUAUUUCCCCUGUGAUGCCACCCAUUGCUGUUGCAACUGUAGCUGUUUUAUGUGGAAAUGCAAUUGCUCAGAGUGCUUCUGCAAUUCUUAUGUCUGGUAGACAAGUGGUGCUAGCUGCAUCUCUGCUUCAUGCAUCUGGAUUUUUCUUUGGUUACAUACUUUCUAGGAUGCUUGGGAUUGAUGUGUCAUCAUCAAGGACAAUCUCUAUUGAGGUUGGCAUGCAGAAUUAAAAAUGAAAAAAGAAGCAACCGAACAAUUGGUGUUGUGCGAGGGAUGUGUCGUUUGUGAAAAGUGGUGCUAAGUUCGUAUUAGGUGGUGUCGUUGUGCGACACUAUUUGUUUGCCAUUGGUGGUGGCUAUGCGACGGGGGUUGUUCGUGGUGGGACAGUGAGUGUGGGUGUUGCAAUGAGUGGCGAGUCAUACAUGGGUGGCCAUUUGGUGGUGUUGCAAGUUUGGUGAUGUGGUGGUCUGUGCAUGGCAGCAUGAAGGGUGACCUACAAAGCAGCAGUCAUGCGGAGGUGACCGUGCGCGAUGCAAUCAUCGUGCAUGGCGGCGCGAACUGGUGUUCAUGCGUGCAUGCGUUGUAUGUGGUGGUUCGUGUGUCGUGCAUGGACGAGGUGACUGUGCUCGUGUUUGGCUGUGUGAAGAGGCUAUCUUCCGGGCCGGUGGCUGUGUGUGGCGUCAUGAAGUGAUGAGCCAUGCGUGAGUUGUAGGAAGAAGAAUACCAUUUGGUGCGUAGUAAAGAGUGCGUAUCUAGAACUCAGUGCUUGGAGUAGUUCUUGCUAGUCAGCAUUUUGGAAAUCCAUUGACAGCCGUACCAUGUGCAGUCUCCAGUGUCUGUCACUCA